UGGUUAAACUACACUCAACGAUUUAAUUUCUUUUCUAUAUUAUUUCGUUAUUUCGUUUUUAACCUAAAUGAAGAGUCAUUCUUUGCUAUUCUUGUAGGGAAAUUUCUUUUUGUUUGUUUUUUUUUUUUUUUUUAAAGAAAAAAGCAUAAGGAAUGAAAUGCCUAUACGAGAUGGCUUGUUUGAUUCACCUCUCUAUAUUCCCGGUAUUUUCAACGCCUUUUGGGUAGCUUCUCGUUAAGUAAUGUUGAUUUUGCUGUAACAAAACGGAGGGGAACAUUAAAAAUAUAAAUUAGCACAAGCGGAAAAGUGCGUGCAGGUAAAUAAG
rnacentral:sRNA from 1 species